GUCUCUUCAAUUUUUCUUUUUUUUUCUUGUAGGUAGAAUAUGAACAUGUUGCCCAAGAAUGUCGACUUGGUUAUAAGGAAGGUCGUCCUUUCUCUGGGGUCACUGCUUGCCUAGAUUUCUGUGCCCAUUCCCACAGAGACAUACACAACAUGAAUAAUGGCAGCACAGUAGUAUGUACCUGGGUCACUUGAAAUUCUAAAAACUCUUUUGCUAUAUGCCUACGCUGCAGUUCUUACGUGUGAUUAUUGUCACAAGUCAUGUUGUAUAUGCUAUUAGUUGUCAGUAUAUAAAUAGGUGAUAUUUAUUAAACUUAUUGUUAGUGUUUCUAAAAACUUAUAGAACUGACCUUGAAUAAAUACUUUUGAGCUGGGUGCAGUGAUACACACCUGUAAUCUCCAUGACUAGGAACAUCAUUGGCAGGAGGAUCAUCAAGCCAGCCCCAGACAUGGCCAGGUGUAGUGGUGCAGGCCUCUAAAUCCCAGGGGUUCCAGUCGCUUGAGGUAGGAGGAACAUGAAUUCAAAGCCAGCCUCAACACCAGUAAGGCAUAAAUUACAAAAUAGGGCUGGUGAUGCGCCUCAAUGGACAUGUUCCCCUGAGUUCAAUCCCCAGUUCCCACAAAUAAAUAAAUUAAUAUAAUGUACAAAGGCCCUGGGAUGUGGCUCAGAGGUUAAGCUCCUUGAGUUUAAUUCCUUUACCAAAAUAACUAAAGAAACGUUUACGGGUUUGCAUUUUAUAUUUCAUUGAAUAUUUUUGCUGGGAGGUGGGAGUGCAUGGUUUGUUGAGUCUUUAAUGCAACAAUUCAGUGUUAUUCAAACUACUAUGCAUAAAGUUAAGCAAGGCAAUUUCUCUUUUUGUCUGGCAUCCCUCAGGCUUUUUUUUUUUUUAAUGUUGAUACAGGGUCUCACUUUGUUGCUUAGUACUUCACUAAGUAGCUGAGGCUGUCUUUGAACUUGUGAUCUCCUGCCUUAGCCUCCUGAGUAUCUGGGAUUACAGGCAUGUGUCACUGUGAUAGGUCAAUUGAACACAAUUCAAUAACCAUUUCUCAAUGUAAGUAAUGAAAUGAGAUUGAAUUCAACAAGAAAGUUGAAUAGGAAGAAUAUCAAAUAUAUAAUUAUUUUUGCAAUAUAAUAAUUUACUUAUAGAAUUCAAUUCGAUUAUACCUGGACAGCUUACAGACAACUGAUUAAUUGGUAGAAUUAAACCAAGUUGAUUGUCUUGAUAGAAAAUAUCAAAAUUAAUAUGCCAGCAACAGCUAAUUGAAAGUAAAAAGGGUACUGCAGAUUUCUUUCAUAUUUGCCUCAAAAAGAAGGUAAUAAUAGGGGCUGGGGUUGUGGCUCAGCGGUAUGGCACUCGCCUACCAUGUAGGAGGCCCUGGGUUCCUCGGCACCAUUUAAAAAUACAAAAUAAAAAUAACUACAACUGAAAAAUAAACUUAAAAAAAAAAAGAAGGUAAUAAUAUGUAAGAUGAAGAUGUACAGCUUGUAUUUCCCACUUAUUUUACUCCUAACAGGUAUGUACUUUAACCCGAGAAGAUAACCGCACCCUGGGUGUUAUUCCUGAGGAUGAGCAGCUCCAUGUCCUGCCUUUGUAUAAACUUGCCGACACUGAUGAGUUUGGGUCCAGAGAAGGGAUGGAAGCCAAGGUCAAAUCUGGAGCCAUUCAGUUCCUUCAACCAACUUGCAAAAAAAGAACACGUUUUACUCAGCCUGUUCCUCGAUCUGGGAAGAAGAGGGCAGCAAUGAUGACCGAAGUUCUUGAGCGCAAGAUUAGGGUAGUGGAGAAGAAACAAAUGCCUCGAGUCAAGCAGAAGAAUAACUCUGCCCUGGCAAAGAACAGUAAAACUUCAUUGGUGCCGCUCCCAGGUGAGCUCUGUGGGACCAAAUUUUCUUAUGUGUACAAACUUCUUUGACACAGGGUUGGCAAUUUCUCUUUCACCAUAUUUUUCCUGUCCUUUAUCUUACUUCCUUCUUAGGUCAAAGGCAUUCUGAGAAGACAGACUUAAAAGGAUAAUUUACUAGAUUUUACUGAGUCUCAUCUUCAUUAUUAUACUUUGUUUAGAGUUAAGUCUUAGAUUCCGAAUAUAUUUCUACAUGGGUAUUCAAACUGAAAAUUAACAAAAACGUGGCCUAUCUCUGCUUUGGGGGGUCGUUUUUGUUUGUUUAUUUUUUAAUACUGGGGAUUAAAUCCAGGCACACUUAACCACUGAUCCCCAUACCCAGCCCUAUUUUGUAUUUUGUUUAGAGGACAGGGUCUCACUGAGUUGCUUAGUGCCUGCUGUUGCUGAGGCUAGCUUUGAACUCAAGGUCCUCCUGUCUCAGCCUCACUUGCCAUUCACAUUAUAUGUGUGGGCCACUGUGCCCAGCUAUUUUACAUCUUGAGAAAGUGUCUAAGUUGCUUAGGGUCUUGUCAAGUUGCUGAAGUCUUCAAACUUGUGAUCUUCCUACUUCAGCCUUCCACGUUACUGGGAUUAGAGGCCUGCACCAGUGCACGAGGCUCCUAGAUUGUUUUGAGCAUACUGAAGAAAUCACACAUUAUCCAUUUUCAUCAGUAUGUAUCACUAAAUGUUAGAAUCUUGCUUCAGCCUCUUAGUAUUUGUAGUCAGUUAUUCAUCAUCAUUCCCAUUAAGGAUUUUUGUUACUACCAUACAAUAACAACAAACAAGAAAGAAAACAAAUGUGAAAAAAGCCAGUGAUACCAUAAUUCUAUUAUUCAGAUUAUUGAAUCAGUAUGAACUCAGUGGUAGAAUCCUUUCCUAACAUUUUGAGGCCCUGCAUUAGAUCCUCAGUACCACACAAAAAGUCACACAUUUUAUUUAAUUAAUAAUAUGUCAGGCCUCUCAUUUUAAGCUUGCUGUCCCUCUCGGUUUUUCCGCUUUCUUCCUUUCUUUAUGGAGCAGAAGAAACUAUUGUUUAGAGUUAAGUCUAAUUGAUUGUUUGUGGUAUUGGGAUUGAAUCCAGGUCAGGGCUUCACUCAUGAUAGGCAAUUAAUUGCUAUUCUACACUAUAGACUGCACUAUGUCCCCAGUCAUUCUUCUCUGAAAAGUGUGCCUAAUAAGUGUCUUCCAUUGUGGUCAGUUUUUUAAAAUUUAAUCUCACAAAUUUUUUGACCAUUUAUUUUCGAUGCACAUUAGGUCAACUCACACACAAAUUGUGUGUGUGUGUGUGUGUUUGUGUUACCAGGUAUCAAACACAUUUUUUUUUUUUUUUUGGUGUAGAUGGACAGAAUACCUUUAUUUUUAUAUGGUGCCUCACACAUGCUAGGCGAGCGCUCUACCACUUGAGCCACAACCCAAGUCCCUCAUCCACUAAACUUUAGGUUUUUUUUUUUUUUUUUUAAGAGAGAGAAUUUUUUAAUAUUUAUUUUUCAGUUUUCGGCGGAUAUAACAUCUUUGUAUGUGGUGCUGAGGAUCGAACCCGGGCCGCACGCAUGCCAGGCGAGCGUGCUACCGCUUGAGCCACAUCCCCAGCCCUCCACUAAACUUUAAAAUGACUCAAAUUUGUUGUAAUUUUCCUAUCCUUGGUCUACAGAAAUCCCUUCAAGCUGGCUUGUGAAUUUAUGUAUGUAUGUCUUGUGAAUUCUUUUGUUACACCCUGAUAGUGUUUCUCAGCUUCUGUUACAACAGAAUGUUCCAGGCUUAUUUUAUAUAAUUCUGCUCUGUAUCUAAUAACACCCAUUUCUAUAAGGAGCCUACAGAAAAAUACAUCAUCAACUUAUACUGAUAUUAAAACUUAGAAUGAGGAGGAGGAGGCAGCAUGAGAGGUUCCUAAUGAAGGUAAUAAGAAAGAAUGUAAGACAGGAAAAUAAUUUAAUAUUUUUACUGUGGGCCUUGCUGGGUUGCUGAGGCUGUCCUUGAACUUGUGAUCCUCCUGCCUCAGUCUCCUGAGUUGCUGGGAUUACAGAUGUGUUCCUCUCUACGCAAUUAUUGAAGAAAAUCUUGUGUUAUUCAAAGACUUCUUUCAUUCAAUAUUCUUAUUAACAUGAAGAAUUCUCUUCCUUAAGAACAUAAUUGUGGGGCUGGGGAUGUGGCUCAAAUGGUAGCAUGUUCGCCUAGCAUGCAUGAGGCACUGGGUUCGAUUUCCAGCAUCACAUAAAAAUAAAGUUAUUUUUUUAAAAAAAGAACAUAAUUGUGACUCUUGUGUGAGAUAUUCUUAGGCAUUAAAUGUAAUGAAAAUAUUUAAACAUAUUGAGUUGUUUUUAGGUCUUUUGCCUUGAUUUUAACUUAUUAUUAAUAUUUGAAAACUUGAUGGUUAAGGAUGUGGCUCAAGUCACAGCACACUAGCCUGGCAUGUGUGAGGCAAUGGGUUUGACCCUCAGUACCACAUAAAAAUAAAAUAAAGGUAUUGUGUCCACCUUAAAAAAAAAAAACAAACCUAAAAAGUAGAUAUUUUUAAAAAAUUUGAAAACUUUAUCAACCAGCUAUAAUUGUUUUGAAUACAGAAUGUGUUCCUCUUGCAGGAGCUGUACUUUUGUGUUUUAUUCACCCUUAGGGAAGCCUAAUGUAACUUUCAAAAUAAAUUUCUUAACAUUUUUAAACAUGAAUACCAAUUGCUGAAUAGCAUACAGAAUAUUUCCACAAUUGGGUGAUAAUACAGUAUUUUUCAGUUAUGUAAACUAUGUGAUUGUGCAUUCAUGUGUAAACCUAUGUGUCUUUCUUCUGUCCAAAUAUUUUAUCACUUCCUGAUGUCAAUAUGAUUUUUAAAUUUAUGUUUGAUUUAGAUAUUAUUUCAGUCAAAUUAGAGUUACAUAUAAGGAUAGUCUCACAUGAAACAGAUGCACAACUUUAUCGUUGACCUACUGUUUAUUCUUUGACUUAAUAAAAAGCAUUAAACUGUCAUAUAUAUAUAUAUAUAUAAACUUAAAAUGACAGGAUAGCACUGGGCAAGUACCCCUGUGGAAAACCUUGUGCUUAGUCUGUGCUUAGUCUGGAUUGGGUUCAAUCCUCAGUACAGAAAAAGAAGAAUCUAGAGCUUUCCUAUCUUCUUUUAUUUUCACAUUUAUAAGAUGGCUUGUUCAUUUUAUGAGAUGAAAGAAAUCAUAAUACAGGUAUUUAAUUAUUACUCUUUUUUUGUGUGUGUGGUGCAGGUUAGAACCCAGGGCCUUAUGCAUGCAAGGCAAGAUUCAGCUUCAUAUAAUAUAAUAUAAUGUAACAUAAUAUAAUAUAAUACUACUUGAUACUUUUUUGAUGUGGUUAAUGGUGAUCAAACCCAGGGCUACUCAACCAAUGAGGCAUAACUCCACCCUUUUUUUGUAUUUUAUUUAUAGACAGUGUCUCACUGAGUUGCUUAGCACCUUGCUAAGUUGCUGAGGGUGACUUUGAACUCCUGAUAGUCUUGCCUCAACUUCCCCAGCUGCUGUGAUUACAGUCGUGUACCACCGUGCCCGGCCUGCUUGAUACUUUUAUUUCGUUCCUUUCAUGUUCCUAUGAUGUGUCAUCUAAGAAACUUGGAAAUCUUCUGAAGCUGGUUAUGUUUAUUUUUACAUUACUAUAUCAUAACAUGGGUCCUUUACUUUUCUUUCUUGUCAUUGCUAAAUUGACUAAUUUUCCUUUCCCGAAUAUUUUCCAGCUUCAAAACAAGUUUAGAAUGUCUCAAGGUAAAUGUUUUUCGAGUAAAAAUUUUUAUGACUUCCUUUACAUAUGAGGCCUUUAUUACCCAGAAAUAUAUUUGAACUAUUACUUAAACUGCGCUAGAAAUGUUAACAUGAGGCUGGGUAUGGUAGCACAUACCUAUAAUCUUCGCUACUAGAGAAGCUAAGGCAAGUUCCAAGAUCUGUCUAUGCAAGUUACCAAUACUCUGUCUCAAAAUAAAAAAUGAGGUGUAGGAAAGUCCACUGACAACUAAAAAUAUAUUUUAAAAAAUAAAUUUAAAAAAUUUUUUAAAAAUUGAAAAGUCAUAUAGAUAUUUGGUAGUUAAAUAUUUUUCCAUGUCAUUGUGUUAUCACUUGCAGGGCAUACCAAUGUUUAGUUGAGCUUUUUGUGCAUAGCCUAUUAGGUCAUUUUUUAAUUUACCAUUUUCAAUGAUGAAUAUCCAUGCUUAUGGAUAACUCUUUGCACUUAUUUCUAAUUUCUAAUUGCUUCCAAAAAGAAAUGCGUUAUGGAAAAUUAUGAAUUAAAAACUAAUACUGGGGCCAGGCAUGGUGUCCCAUACUGGAAAGAGCAAGGACAGAGGAUUGCAAGUUCAAGGCUAGCCUCAGCUACUAAGCAAGACUAUGUCACACAAUGAAAAAUAAAAAUAAGGCCUGGCACAGUGGCAUACGGGCUAAUAAGGAGGCUGAGGCAGGAGGAUGGUGAGGUCAAAGCCAGCCUCAGAGGCAACCUUAGUGAUUCCCUAAGCAACUCAGCAAGACCCUGUCUCUAAAUAAAGUACAAAAAAGGCCUUCGGAUGUGGUUCAGUGGUUAAGUGCCCCUAGAGUCAAUCCCCAGUACCAAAAAGAAAGCAUGAUUAUGUAGCUCAGUGGUAGAGCACCUCUGGGUUCAACGCCCAGUACCACCAUGAUGCCAAAAAUAUAAAUAAAAAUUUAAAAAAUGUCUAACAAGCUAGGAUGUAGCUCACUGGUAGAGUACAUGUCUAGCACAUACCUGACCUUGGGCUCCUUCUCUAGCUUCAGAGGGAAAAAAAAAUCAUAGCUUGUUUUUACAUUCCUUGUUCCUUUAUCUGUUUAGGGAAUAAUAGUGAGACAGUGCAACCUGGAAUAAAAGGUGAAACUAAACAUCAUUUUAUCUUCAAAGGUUCAGAGAACACUAAAUGCUAUUCAUCGACCCCAUCCAUUCCUCCAACAGUGAAUGAGGCAACCCUGUCUCCAGUAUUCUGUUACCCGAAGACUUCUUCCGUGCCAACAGCUCCAUUUAAUUUCAAUAAAGUAGCCUCCUCUGGGUUUUCAGAAAGAAGUAGCAUUCCCCACUGCACAAUGCCUUCUGGAAGACACAGUGGUGCUAAUGCAGCUGCUGGGGAAGGCACUGGAAUUGCACAGCCCAUCGACCUGGCUCCUCCUCCCUCCCUGCCUCCUCCCAUGACAGAUUCCCUUGCUUUUUCUGAGCCUCCCACUGGUCCAACUGAGCAGCUAACUACUAAUCAGCCAAAUCAGCAGCCCCCAUUCCUCAUUUCUCCUCAUGAGCCUGCUUCCUGUCUGGUGGAAGAAGAUGAGCAACAUUCUGAAGCAGAUGAGCCUGUAUCUGAUGACCCCCUAUCAGAUGACCUUCUUUCACCUGCUGAGGAAAAAUUGCCCCAUAUCGAGGAAUAUUGGUCAGACAAUGAGCACAUCUUCUCGGAUCCCAAUAUUGGUGGGGUGGCAAUUGCGCCCACUCAUGGUUCUGUCAUGAUUGAGUGUGCCCGGCGAGAGCUUCAUGCUACCACUGCUGUGGCCCACCCAAACCGCAAUCAUCCUGCUCGCCUCUCCCUUGUAUUCUACCAGCACAAAAACCUGAAUAAGCCCCACCAUGGUUUUGAACUAAACAGGAUUAAGUUCGAGGCUAAAGUAGCUAAGAAUAAGAAAAUGAAGGCCUCAGAGCUGAAAGACCAGGCAGCUAACAAGGGUGCUGAAUUGUCCCCUGAAAUAAAUGAAUUGAACCAAAUUCCUUCUCAUAAAGCAUUAACAUUGACCCAUGACAAUGUUGUCACUGUGUCCCCUUAUGCUCUAACACAGGUUGCAGGGCCCUAUAACCGGUGGGUCUGAAGGCUUUCCUCCCCUUCUUAAUGCCUUUCCUCAUGCAGUGUAUUUUUUCAAGGUGCUGUUAAGAGAAAGUCAUGUUGUCGUUUACUCUAUCUUCAUCUCACCCAUUUCAAGUCUGAGGUAAAAAUUUUAAAAAUGGGGUGGGUACUUAACUGUGACUAUUUUGUCAAUUGGUAGAAGGUGCACAUUUUAAGCAAAAAUAAAAGUUUUCUAGUUUUAAAUACAUAAAGAAACGUUUUGGUUAGGUGUUAACCUUGACAGAAUCACUCAGUUUGGUGCUUUAAAUUAAGUCUGUUUACUAUGAAACAAGAGUCAUUUUUAGAGGAUUUUAACAGGUUCAUGUUCUAUGAUGUAAAGUCAAGACACAGUGUUAACUCUACACAGCUCCUGGUGCUUAACCACAUUGACACAGUUAAAAAUAAGCUGAAUCAUUGUUUCAUGGUGCCAUGUUCCAAUAUCUUCCAAUCAUUGCUAGAAAAUCAGCAUUUUCCUUUGAAAUAAACCAAUGAAAUGCUUUCUCUCUUUAAAUAUUUCUCCUGUAUAAAAUAAUUCAUUAUUGUUUGUAAUGGUUGGAGGCUGUUCGUAAUUGUAAAUAUAUAUAUUUUCAAAGCACUUUCUAUUUUUAAAAGUAACUUGAAAUAGUAUAGUAUAGGAAUCCUAUUGUCUAUUGUUUGUGCAUAUUUGCAUACAAGAGAAAUCAUUUAUUCUUGCUGUGUAGAGUUCCAUCUUGUUAAAUGCAACAUGUUAUUUGCAUCCUGUAUAUGAUUUUUAUUCUUUUAAUGUGUCCUUUCAUGUUAUGUAAUAGCUACUUAUAUAAAAUAGUGAAUAAUUCCUAAAAUUGGACUUAAGAAACAUCAUCAAUAUUGACUAAGUUGUUUUAAAUUUUAAAAUAGUGUGGUCUCUUAUGAUUUAUUGAGCUACCAUGGCCUCAAGUUACUUCCAUCCCAGCUUUUUCAAUAUAACCCAUUAAACAAGUUUCAAAAGGGAAAUGGGAGAAAAUGUGAUUCAGAAGAGUCAAAUGCUUUUAAUGUGUCAAAGUGAUAUAAUACAAAAAUUAAGUAACCAGAAUCCUAC
rnacentral:lncRNA from 1 species